UGGCAAGCGUUAUCCGGAUUUAUUGGGUUUAAAGGGUGCGCAGGCGGAAUGUCAAGUCAGCGGUAAAAUCGCGGGGCUCAACCCCGUCGAGCCGUUGAUACUGGGAGGCUUGAGUUGGAGAGAAGUAGGCGGAAUGCGCGGUGUAGCGGUGAAAUGCAUAGAUAUCGCGCAGAACUCCGAUUGCGAAGGCAGCCUGCCGGCUCCGUACUGACGCUGAGGCACGAAAGCGUGGGGAUCGAAC
rnacentral:rRNA from 1 species